UGCAUUAGGGCUAUAUGUAUCAACACAAACCAAGAGAACACUUCACUUUCCCCUUUUUCUUUUUUUUUAACGGAAGCUCUCUCUCCCUCCUCUCCCUUUCUCUCGGUCUCCUCUCUCUCACUCCCUCAACCAAAUUCUUGCUACUCCACCAUCAAUCCUUGAAAACCCACGCACAGGUCUUCAUCCUCGGCCCUCUCGGCCCUCGGAUCGCGUGGGAAGAGCUCGGUGGAGGCAUAUUUCGGAUUUGGAGGCUAGGGUUUGGUUUGAGCUCAAAGCUUGGUCUUGAUACUUGAGGUACUCGCCAUGGCUCUUAUCUUGGAUUGCAUGGAGUGCACGUUGAGACGUCUCUUAAGGACUUCAUUGGAACCUUUAAGGAGUGGUUUAUCAUCAAGUUUAAUUCAUGUCAUGUACUUUGCUUGCAAUUGAAGGUUGUAUCUUUUGAUUAGAUCAUAUGUAAAGCUAUGUACAAACUCCUCUCCUUGAUUAUUAUGAAACUCAUUUAAUUGUAAACGUUUGGGGAGACUUUAUAAUAAAUAAAUAAAUAAAUUUUAGAGAGAAGAAGAAGAGA